CCCAGCUGUAGGCAACUGUCUAGGUUGCCUUGUACCUAGGCAAGUGUUACAGUGCUGGGAGAAAAGCAGCCAAUAGCUGGCAGGGAUUCUGGGGCCGGUUAAUGCCAACACU
rnacentral:snoRNA from 1 species